rnacentral:rRNA from 1 species
UGGGGAAUUUUGCACAAUGGGGGAAACCCUGAUGCAGCGACGCCGCGUGAUUUAGAAGGCCUUCGGGUUGUAAAAAUCUUUUCUAUGGGAAGAAAAUGACAGUACCAUAGGAAUAAGGACCGGCUAAUUACGUGCCAGCAGCCGCGGUAAUACGUAAGGUCCGAGCGUUGUCCGGAAUCAUUGGGCGUAAAGGGUACGUAGGCGGGUAAGCAAGUUAGAAGUGAAAUCCUAUAGCUCAACUAUAGUAAGCUUUUAAAACUGCUCAUCUUGAGGUAUGGAAGGGAAAGUGGAAUUCCUAGUGUAGCGGUGAAAUGCGCAGAUAAUAGGCGGAAUACCGGUGGCGAAGGCGACUUUCUGGCCAUAACCUGACGCUGAGGUACGAAAGCGUGGGUAGCAAACAGG